CAGGGUCCUCGGGAAUGGGGACAGCUCAGCCGGCUUUGCGGAGGAUUUGUGGAUUUCUGGUUUGGAGGCCCAGGGGGUUAGAGGCCCAGCGAGGCGGUGGCUCGGCUGCAAUUGGAGCGAGGCAAUCCGGCGCAGAGUCCUGCUUUUAUGUCAAGUGGCAGGAGAUGGUCCUCCUUCUGGGCCCUGUCCCCUCACGGAUUAAAUGAAGGUGACUCCACUGCCUGCCCAGACGCCUCAUUAAGGAUCCCUUUGGCCAAGGGCUCGGCCAGCCUGGCUGCUGCCGACCAGAAGGACAUUGGCCAUGGACGCUCUCUGGGAGUGGGAGGUGGGAGUCUGUGACGGCCACUUUCCUGGCAAAGCUAGAACGAGUCCAAGUCCAGGGCUCUGGGGAGACAGGGCCACAGCAGGUGAGGCCGGUUCCCCACCGGUCCCCGCUCAGCCAGAACGGUCCCUGCAGAAGUCACUGCAGACUCCGCUGCUUCUCCUUGGAAGGUUUGCUGUGUUCGGUGAGUUCAGGAAGAAGCAUGGAUGGAUUCGUGGAUUCACCCGUCACUAAUUCGCCCCUUCUCAUACGUCUGCUGCGUCCUUACUGUGUACAGGGCUCUGUGCGUGUCCCUGGACAGAUUACAACGAUUGUCUUUGCCCCAUGAAGUGUGCAGUCUGGUGGAGACAGCCGUUCUGAUUCAUUAGUUCAGCAGAUACUUAUUGAAUAGAGGUUGUACUAAUUUACAUUCCUGCCAACAAUGUAUGAGCAUUUUCUUU